rnacentral:tRNA from 1 species
GCCUUCGUGGUGUAGUGGUCAACACGCUGGACGCGUCCAGAGCUUCGUGGUUCGAAUCCCGGCGAAGGCA